rnacentral:rRNA from 1 species
CAGCCGCGGUAAUACAGAGGGUGCAAACGUUGUUCGGAAUUACUGGGCGUAAAGCGCGUGUAGGCUGCUUCGCAAGUCGGGUGUGAAAGCCCUGGGCUCAACCUAGGAAGUGCACUCGAAACUGCGGAGCUGGAGUCCUGGAGAGGAAGGCGGAAUUCUCGGUGUAGAGGUGAAAUUCGUAGAUAUCGAGAGGAACACCGGUGGCGAAGGCGGCCUUCUGGACAGUGACUGACGCUGAGACGCGAAAGCGUGAGGAGCAAACAGGAUUAGAUACCCUGGUAGUCCACGCCGUAAACGAUGGGUGCUAGGUGUCGCGGGCUUUGACCCCUGCGGUGCCGUAGCUAACGCAUUAA